AUGACAAAAUUCAAGAUCUGGUUUUUCAGAGACUCACAACAUUUGAUUCCAUCCAUUGAACAUGCUGCUAAGUGGAACGCUAUUAGAACCUAUGUGGAUAUAGCUCUAAAAAAUCUGAAUACUUUCCCUUCUAAGUAUGUAGCUUCUUCAAGCCAAAAGCAAGAGCAAUUUGAGGCAAAACUGGCUUCGAUAGUUGCUAAUCAAGAGGUUAUGGGAGCUCAGCUUCAAUCUGUGGUUGCUAAUCAAGGCUCACUAAUUAAAAAGCAAGAGAAAUGGAUGCUUAGUUAA